UUACAGUUUUAUGUGUUUCCAGAACUUUGCCUCAGAAUAUGGAUGGCUGUUGUAUAAUAAAAUCCUCCUGGGCUUGUGUGUUUUGGAGAAGAUGAUCACAGAGGAAGAGCUGCAGCCUAGAAUCACCCUGUAUCCAUGGGCCUGAGCAAAACCAUCCCUGAACAGCAUAGCUAGCAGCCCACCAGCCUGCACUGACAUCACUCUGCCAGCCUGCAAGACCCUGCCAGUGUCUGCUACG